rnacentral:rRNA from 1 species
AUGGCCGCUAAUGAGGUGAUCCUGCAGCUGCUCUACGGAUGCCCUCUCCUCGCCGACCUGACGCUUGAGGAGUGCCCGGGCGCCACGGAGAUCACCGUGCUCCGUGCCCGCCGACCGCCUCCGGAGCUUCGCCAUGGUCUGCUGUCACAACGCUCAGCGCGUCGUGCUGUACACACCAUGCCUGUGUUCGCUGAGGUACAAGGGCGGACUCCCUCCAGACACCUCGUUCCUCCUUGUUGCCGGCUACGAAGGCGUCGCGGCGGUGACCAUGGACAUCUGCGAGGACCUCAGCAGCAAAUCACCAAUGGAAGUCGCUCCGCUCAUGGGUCUCGUCAGCUGGUGCAGGAACCACACGUAUCUCCACCUCGCCCUGCGCCCGUCGAUGGCAUACUACUGCAGCGAGUUUGUGGCCGUCGCAGGCCAUCGCAGGCCGCCUGCAGCUAG